UACGUAGGGUGCAAGCGUUGUCCGGAAUUACUGGGCGUAAAGAGUUCGUAGGCGGUUUGUCACGUCGUUUUGUGAAAACUCACAGCUCAACUGUGAGCCUGCAGGCGAUACGGGCAGACUUGAGUACUGCAGGGGAGACUGGAAUUCCUGGUGUAGCGGUGAAAUGCGCAGAUAUCAGGAGGAACACCGGUGGCGAAGGCGGGUCUCUGGGCAGUAACUGACGCUGAGGAGCGAAAGCGUGGGUAGCAAACAGG
rnacentral:rRNA from 1 species